GGAGCCAGGUGCUUCUUCCUGGUCUCCCAUGUGGGUGCAGAGGCCCAAGCACUUAGGCCACUGCCUUCCCAGGGCACAGCAGAGAGCUGGACUGGAAGAGGAGCAGCCAGGACUAGAACCAGCGCCCAUAUGGGAUGCAGGCGCAAGACAACCAAUUUCAUGUAUUUCAUAGACAUAAUUCUAAGAAGAUAACCAUAGCCCUCUCUCUCCCUCCUGCAAUCCACUCUCCUUCCUUCCUUCCUUCAUUUCUUUUCCUUUAUUUUUUACACUAACAUAAUUUCAAUUUACUUUAUAAUCACAGUUUUAUUAAAGCUCCACUAACCAUGAUGUUCAACAAGUAAAAAACAGAAUGACCACUGUUCCACAGGAGUAUAGACAAGGGCUAAAACAAUAGUCAAAUCAUAAGAUGUCAGUUUCAUUCUAUAUAAACCACCAUGUAUCAGAGAAGACUUACAAGACUUGACUUUUUGAGACUGGCUCAUUUGACUGAGCAUAAUAGUCUUUAAAAUAGAUUUAGGUUAAUAGACAUAUUUUUAAGAGGUGAAAAAAUGAUUGACUUAAACAUCAGCAUUAUGUGUUUCUCUUAUCCCUUGUUCAUGUCUUGGCAUCUGAGCUCUUAUUCAGUUUAAUACAAUGGUGUAUUCAAAUAUAGACAUAACUAGUUUGUUUGGCUUAUAGGUGUUUCCUAAUAAGCUGUUAACUUACUCAAACAGGGGCUGGUUUCUGUACCAGCUGCUCUACUUCCAAUCCAGCUGCCUGCUAAUGCCCCUGGGAAAGCAGCAGAAGAUAGUCCAAGAGCUUGGGCCCCUACAGCCACAUGGGAGACCUGGGUGGAGGUCUAGACUCCUGGCUUUGUCCUGGCCUUGGCUUUUACAGCCAUUUGGCAGAAUGACAUGGGGGCAGAUGAUGGGGAGAAGAGAGAGAGAUCAUCACUAACCGGUUCACUUCCGAAAUGGCUACAACACCCUCGACUGGGACAGGCCAAAGCCAAGUGCCAGGAACUCCAAGUCUCCUGCAUGGUGGCAGAGUUCCAGAUAGCACUAGUUUUCCAGAAAUUAGGAAGGACCAAGAAAACUGAAAGGCACCGAAGAAGUAAUGUGACAGCCACUGAAACUGAGAUGUUCCAGAUGGAUGGCAGAGGUGCUCAAAGACAAAACCUAUCAAAGAGAAACAUUCCUGCUGGCCCCUUGCUGCAGCUCCCAUAAGGUGCGUUAAAAUAGGCAGAAGGCAAGCUCCAUAUUAUUAAUAACCUUAAAAACAGAUUUAAAUUGAUCUCCUUUAGGUUAUCUGGCUUCUUUUAUAUUCUGUUCUCUCCCUUGUGUUUAGUUUCACUGGGUUUUAAUCAGAUAACUUUAAAAUGUGCUGAACCCAGGUUAGAAUGCAGCAUGAAAGCAACAGAAGAGAGAAAGAGUUUUCUGAGUAGGGAAAGUCAAAUAACUCAACACAAUUAAGAUGAUGAGGGCUCCUGAAGGGCAGAGGGAAGAGGGGGAGCUCAGGCACUUGACACACAAAAAGCUGAGUCGCCAGAAGAGUUAGUUAAAGGGAAGGUGCUGGGGAUAAAAGGUUGGCAACAACUCCCUUGGGAAUUGCACUCUGAGAUUUCAAGGUUCAAUACAAGCUUCUUUCAUUAGUGUAAGUGUUUCUGCACAAACAGCUUGUCACUGCAGUUCGGUUUAAUCUCAGCCAUUGGAGGGGCAAAGACCUGUUAGGUCAAAGUGCUUGUUACUCCAGUGCAAGAGGGAAACAAUGUCUUUUACAUAUAACAUUGCAUCUAUUAAUAUAGAAGGGAAAACUGCAAAAAACUUUUUCUUCUGUGAAAAGAUUAGGGAAUAUAAAUUUUUUUUUUUCAAAACUUGAGAUAUUUGAGCACAGAGUCUGAGGCUGAGCAUGUUGAGAGUUUUAGGACAAGAGAGUUAGCCUGGGAAAUGACAUUAUAGUAUUAGGAACCGCAGAGAAGAGACUGUUACUUACUUGGUAAUUUUGAUAAUGUUCCUUAAUCCGCCCUUGUUUGGGUUGUAAUUAAACAUAGCAGUAGGCUGCUAUCUCAGAUCAUUGCUAUGGAUCAUAAUGAACAAAAGCAGAGCAUUAAACCAUAAACUACAUCUUAAACUACCCUCUAAGUUCAUGCUGUUCAAAGAGAUCCAGAUGGUGUAAUUUAUUUUCCUUCCUAUGCAGUGGGAGGUAAUUGAUGUAACUGAUAAGAAAACAUGAUUGAUUGAUAGUUAUAUUCAGAUAUGGUGAGCCAAGAUGCUCUGAUCUUAUGCUAGCUCCUGUUUGUUGCUUUAGUCAGAGGAAAAAGAAAAAAAAAGCAAGAGUGUUAAAUCAUUAACAACAAACUACACAGCUUCCAAGCUGCAUAAAUAUUACACAAGAGUGCAGAUAUGAGUUAUCUGAAAAUUGUUUCUAUGCUUUGGACUGUAAAAUAAUGUGGCAUUCAUAAAUAAUUUUAUCCUUAGCAUUAUUCUGUCUUUUAAAAUUUAAGUUGUAAAAUAUCUUUUCUACUCUAAUUUCAGAUCGUAUUUAUUUCACUUAACUAUUCAUUUAUUUGACAGUGAUAAUAUGCCUGUAAAAUACGGCUUUUUGAUCACGUAUAGUUGACGGACAGCUUUUUGUUUCUUUUCCCCGUUUCUCAAGGCUAGCACUCUGUCUAGUGAUAUGCUCCUGCUGGCAAUGUCAGUCAUCAGGCACUCCAGCAAAUGAUGGGAGAUCAAAGGAAGCAGGAGAUGGCUUAAGUGAUCAAUCAAUUUAAUGUGUAUGCUAUUGAGGCAUGGAAACUUUCCAACUACUGUGGCAUCCCUGGCCAGAGUAGAAUAUAUGAGUACAUAUUGCAUGUGUACAAGUUUAGCUGGGAAAUAUGAGUUGAUGAUUUAUAUACUAUUUUUUCUUUUCAUUGUAGCUUAAUUAAAUAAAGAGGUUUCUGAAGGUUAUGCCUUGAAAGAUUUAUUUAUGGCCUUCAUAAUCUCUUCAUAUGUUCCAUUGAUGAGAAUAAGAAAAUCCAGUUUUUAUUUGUUAUGCCAGUAAAGGUUACAUGUUGAUAAUAGUGUGUUUUAUUACUUAAUUAUUUAUUUGUGAGGAAAGAGAGACAGAAUGAUAACACAGAAAGAGACUGAGCUCUCAUCUGCAAGUUUAUUCCCCAAAUAUGCAUAAUGGCCAAGCCUGGGUUUGGCUGAAGCCAGGAGCCAGGAACUCAAUCUAGGUCUCCGUAUGGGCAGCAGGACAGCCAUUGUAGCAAUCACCUCUGCCUUCCAGAGUCUGCCUUAGCAGGAAGUUGGCUUCAGGAGCUGGUAUUGGGCGUGAAGCCCAGCAUUUGGAUGUGAGACACGAGCACCUUAAGUACUAGGCUAAAUGCCCUUCCCAUUGUGUGUGUGUGUGUGUGUGUGUGUGUGUUUAAGGUAAUUUCAUGUAAACCUCAAAAGCGUCAAAAUGAACUUUUAUUAAAAAUUGAAUUGAAAGCUAAGAAGCAAAAUCACAAAGACUUACAAGAACAAGCUGCUCAGUAGCCUCUGUAUUUCUUACCUAUAAGAGGAAAGAGAACAGAGGUGUUUUUGGCUUGAAAUAAUAGCAAUUGCUAAGAUCAGUGAGGCAAAGCUUUAGAAAUACAAAUGAAAUAAAUAUUUUUGAGCCAAGUCUUGAGAAUAAUUGUGGGUUUAAGUGAUCAAGGUUUGUAAACAACAGUUCUAGUUUCAUAUCAAAGAACAGGUGUAAGCUGCGCUGAGCCUGGGAUGGACUGUUAGUAAUUCAUUAGCCUUUUCAUCUUCACAGGAAUAAAAAUCAGGCUGUAUUAGGAUGCUUUCAGUGUGCAAAAAAAGCAUGGGCAUUUAAACUUACUUGCAAUAAUUGCAUAAUUUAAAUGGCUUUUGUUUAUUUUGUGAUUUGGUUCAAACCCCACUCCUACCCUUCUAAGAUCUCCAUCCCAAAAGAUUUUUACAUGUCUGUAGUAUUUUUGCAAGGUUCUUUGUGUGAAGUGUUUUGCAGACUCCCCAGGUUGACCUGUCUUUGCUUGCUUUCUCCCCUUAUGAACUGACAUGUAUAAGAACUCUCACAAAAGAAGUUUAAGUGAGGCCAGCGCCACAGCUCACUAGGCUAAUCCUCUGCCGGCACCCAGGGUUCUAACCCCAGUCGGGGUGCCGGAUUCUGUCUUGGCUGCUCCUCUUCCAGUCCAGCUCUCUUCUGUGGCCCGGGAAGGCAGUGAAGGAUGGCCCAAGUGCUUGGGCCCUGCACCUGCAUGGUAGACCAGGAGAAGCACCUGGUUCCUGGCUUCAGAUCGGCGCAGUGCGCCGGCCAUAGCAGCCACUGGGGGGUGAACCAACGGCAAAGGAAGACCUUUCACUUUCCUCUCUCUCUCUUUCUCUCUCUCUCUCUCUCUCUCUCUCUCCCUCCCUCACUGUCUAACACUGCCUGUCAAAUAAAUAAAUAAAUAAGAAGUCUAAGUGAAAAAGCAGUGCAGUGGGGCCUGAGAUGCCGACAUCCCAGAUGAGUGACAAUCUGGGUUUGUGCUGCUCCAUUUCUGACCCAGCGUUUCUGCUAAUGCUACCAGAAUUUAGAGCUGGUUUAUUGUCUCACAGGGAUGAAGAAUUAUGAUGGGGAUAAUAAGAUGUGUGGGGGCUGGUAGUGAACCAAGCAAUAGUUUUAUUGAGAGGUAGACUUUAUAGAGAAUUGACAAUCAAGACUCCUGUUACCAAGGACAGGUCUGUGAAGAUCUGGGUAUUGGAAACUUUUAUAGAGAGUUCAUGUUAAUUAACUCUUCUACAUAUAGUUUCAAUAUGUCAGGGGCCUACUUUGUUUUUUUUUCUGUGUCUCUUAGGUCACGGAUGUGACCAAAGUUACCAAGUCAACCACGUGGAGGAUGUGAUAGUUGAGAAAUAUUGUUUACCAGACCACUUAAAGCAGGUUAUGCCUACAUGAGCAGUUGCUAAGUGCUUGAGACUUGCUACUGUGUGGUGUGUUCUGGUAUGAUGCCAGAGCUUACUUUCUCAUAUGGUUACCUCUGGAUAUGAAACCCACCGUGUUCCCUAUAAAUCUUUUAUUUUCUUGGGGAAAUGCUUUUUGUCUCAUCAGUAGAUGGCAGGUUUCAUAUAAUCACCUGGUUCCUUAUUCCCAGAGGGGCUUUCCUAACUGCCUAUAAAUUCUUUUUUUUUUUUUUUUUUAAGAUCUAUUUAUAUGGGGGCUGGCGCUGUGGCACAGUAGGUUAAUCCUCUGCAUGCAGCACCAACAUCCCAUAUGGGUGCCGGUUCUAGUCCUGGCUGCUUCUCUUCCAAUCCAGUGCUCUGCUGUGGCCUGAAAAAGCAGUGGAAGAUGGCCCAAGUCCUUGGGCCCCUGCACCCACAUGGGAGCUCCAGCCUUUGCGGCCAUUUAGAGAGUGAACCAAAGGAGGGAAGACCUUUCUCUCUGUCUCACUGUCUGUAACUCUACCUUGCAAAUAAAUUAAGAAAAUCUUUAAAAAAAGAUUUAUAUAAAUGAAAGUCAAAGUUACAGACAGAAGGGGAGAUAGAGAGAGAGUGAGAAAGAGAGAGAGAGAGAAAUCUUCCAUCCACUGGCUCUUCAUCCCCCAAAUGUACAAAUGUACUCAAAGGCCAGGGCUGAGACAUACUGAAGGCAGAAGCCAGGAGCUUCAAGUGGAUCUCCCACGUGGGCAGUCAACAGCUUUGCUCAUUGCCCGACAGUGCUCCCACUAAUGUGCUGAGGUACCUGGAUGGAGUUCUAGUUGCCUCAUUCUGUUGCAGUGACUUUGGGAGAGAACCAGCAGAUGGAAGAUCACUCUCCCUCUUACUCUAACUCUGACUUUCAAAUAAAUAAUUUUUAAAAUCUUAGUAAAUAGAAAUCUGUGUUUAAAAUCUGAGCCUGGAAUCUUCUGGGUGUUGCUGAAAGACCAUCUGUCUGACACAACUGAGUGAGCUUGAGGAUAAGUUUGUUUUCUUCUAGGUACCAUGCCAGUAUUUAUCCUGGGAACAAGCCUGCCAGAGUUACCAGAUUUAUCCCAAAUGUGGCAUGGUUUAGUCUUGUGUUAUCUGAAAUCAAAUUGUUUGCAAUUCCUUUAUUUUAUUUGGUAAAUGUAGGGCAACUAAGGAAGCAUUUCAUUUUCCUUCUAUUUAAGGUCCUUAUCUCAGAAAACUCCUCAGUACUUUCUCAACUAUCUGAAAUACAUAUAAGUUAUUUUGAGAAUAGGUAUGUUUUUGUUGGCUGAUCUUUUGUCAUUAUGAUGGCCUAGGAAUAUCUUUUUUUCUAGAAGACAGGAGCUAGUUCUCUGAAAUGCAAACACGGAGGGAAAAAAAAGCCACUAUCUCCUACAUUAUAUGGUAGGGUAGGAGAUGUCUAACUCCAGUGGGAAGUUAAACAUCUGAUAUAAACAUAAGAAAAUUUUAUCUGGGCAAACUCAGUUACUAAUAUAGAAGAUUAUCUGAAUUACUAGUUGCAUCUAUAAAGAACUUGUGUAAAAAAUAGUAUCAACAAGUCUUCGUGUUUUAAAUCUAUGCAAAUUGUUUUGUGGUUAUAUAAAAAGGGAGAUUUCUUUCUGUUUUUUUUUCAUUCUCUUAGCAGAUACUCUAUAAUGUACAUCAUAUUCUGAUAUCAUGCUUAUUCAACAAUAAAACAUUUUCUUUACUAUUUUCUUGGAGAGAUUUCCCGAGUUAAAAGAAGAUUCUGGUUUUAAUUAUAUUUCUGUAAACAACCCUGUCUGAAACAUCAAAUUCAGAUUUCAAUUUUGAUUUUAGACUUAGCAGGUAGUGCAUGUGUAGUUGACAUUUGCCCUAAUUGGAUAUUUAUCAUAAUACAAUGCCACUAAUUUUUUUCUGCCUUUCAUUUAUCAUGUUAUUCAUCAUUUUGAAUGAAGAACAGAAUCUAUGAAUACUAAGUUGCAAAAUGUUGAGCUAAUAACGACAGAAAAAGAAGCUUCAUGCCUCUGUUUACAAAUUUCUACCAAGUUCUCUUAACCCAAAAGAUAAUUAAUUUGACCUAAAGACUGUUCUGGGCCAAAGCUGGCCUUCUUUGUAUAUAAUGCUAUCUUCAAAGAAGGCAAUAGAAUCCAAUCUGUUCCACAUUCUUUGACCUGCCAAUAUAUUAAUAGCCCAGAAAAUUCUACCUAAAUUUCAUUUUUCCUUCUUUCUAGGAUAAUUUAUAUCUAUCUCAAGAAAAACAAAUAUUAAAAAUUAUGUAAAUAAUUGGCUAAAUUUUAAUUUUUAAUUGUGAAAUUAGACUGAAAACAGUACAUGAUUAUUGUGUGUGUGUGUGUAUGUAUACCACCCAUACUAGACGUAAAUAUAUAUAAGAAGAAUGUAUCCUGCUCUUUGAUCCUGUUUUCACUGCUCUUUAUCCUCAUGAAAACUUACUACUCUGUGAUAAUACGUAUUCACAUUUUGGUACAUAUAUACAUGUAUGUAUACACAUACCUAUGUAGCUCUGUCUGUAUGGAUUACUAAGCUUAUACAAAUUAGUUAUACCCAUAUUUGAACUUUGUGUAAAUGCUCUUAUGUUUGCAUUUGUGUAUACUUGCAAAAAUCAAAGGAAAAACUUUGUCAGAAAUUAUUCUGGAGUCAAGAUUGCCAGAUUCUGACCUAAAUAUGGUCAGAAGCAUAGUAAAUUUCAAUAUAUUUUUCCCAGAAAUUUAUUUUUCUUGUUCAAUAUUAUUAUUUGAGAUUACUUUAUACUCAAAUACAUAAUUAUAGUUUUUUAUUUUUCCUGCUGUACAGAGACCCAUUUAAAGAAGUCACAUAUUUUUAUAUGCUCCACUGGUGAUAGUUGGGUUGUUAGUCUAAGUUAUCAAUUAAUUUAUUCAUGUUCUGAAUAUUUCAAUAUUUUAUAAAAUCUGAAAAGUGGAAAAAUAACAUAAUGUAUAUGAAUAAUAUUACUAAAUGUUAUAAUUCAUCAAUUCCCCUAGUUUUGAACCAUGAAUUAAGCUCAAUUUCUAAUAAAUUACAAAAAGUUUCUUUCAUGAUACCUAACUGUUUGUAAACUUUCUCGGAAAGUGUCAAGUGUCAAAAAUACUCAGGACACUUACAAAGUAAGAAAGUAAAGCAGGGCAACUGUUGUGGUACAGCCAGUUAGGCUACCACUUAGGACACCCACAUCCCAUAUUGGAGUGCUGGCUUGAGCACCAAAUCCUUUGCUUCCUAUUCAGCUCUCUGCUAACAAGUCUUGGAAGCAGCAGAUGAUGACCCAAGUCCUCGGAGCCUUGACACCCAGGUGGGAAAAUUGAAUGGAGUUCCAUAUUCCUGGUUUCAGCCUGGCUCAACCCUGGCUUUUGGAGUAUUUGAGGAGUGAACCAGUAGAUGGAAGAUGGAUUUAUCUUUCUCUUCUCUCUCUCUUCCAUCUUCUUUCAUUCUUCCUUUCAAACAAAUAAACAAACUUUAAAAUGAAAUAAAAAGAAGCAAGGCAACUCUUCCUACCAGGUAAUACUUUGUCAACUAACCAAAUAGUUUGGUUGCCCCAUGGGCACAAAAUCAACUUAAAGGAAUAUCAGCUGGUAGACACUCAUCUUUUCAGAAGAAAAAGGCUUUAUGCUUGAGAUCAUCCAGUAAAAGUGGCAGGAGGUAUGACUUAAAUCCAAGAUGUAGGGAUAGGGAAAAUUAGGGACUAGACAGCAGUAGCUAGAAUGUGGAACUGCUGGCGAGCCAAAUUACGAUAGGAAUGGUUUGGAAUCAGGUCGUUUUUGAUAAAGUUUCAAAAGAUGAACUACUGCUCCAGAUAUCAUUGUUCAGUGCAGCCCUAGAUUUUGAAAGGACUCUGGUGUUUAAGAACUGCUUGUGCUCUGGUCUUUGGCUCUACAACUUAGAUUUUCCUCUUUGUGCUGAUCCAGAUUGUAUGAAUUGUAGUUUUCAGUUCUGUUUCUUCUGUGCCUGUGUGACUAAAUCCUAGACAUCUCUUGUAAGAAAACGGUAAUUUAAAAAUAAUGGUUUGAUCCACUGAAAAAGCGUAAGACAUGGAGCUUUCUGGGAGGGAAUGAGGAAAUAAAACAGGAAGAAACCAGUAGAGGGAGGAAUCUGGUAUUAAGAUGUCAAAAAUAUUACAAAGUACAACAUUUUCAAUGUGAAUAAAAUCAAAUUAAAAAUUAAUAUAAAAACAAAAAGAAAGCAAUUAAAAAGAAUAGGUAACUUUGUUUAUAUGAAAACAUGCUUAAAUAACAAGUUGCCUUGCAGAAUACUAGGGAAAGGAUGACUAGUCACUAAAUGUGAAGGAGAAAACUAUUUUUAGAAAACAAUGCAUGUAAAUAUUUUUUAAAAUUUCUACAGAAUUUCAGCUUUAUUAUUGCAUAGCAUCUGCCUUUGGAGUUAGAGAUAAUGAAUUGCUCAGGAGAAAUUUAAAGACUCAUCUCCUCUGGAUCCACUUCCUUAAUUUUCAAAGGUAAUGGAUGUGCAAAUAGAGCAAUAUUCAGACCCUUCCAAAUUUCAGACUUAUCUGUUAUCCUCUAUUUUUAAAAAGUAAUACUCUCCCAAUUUUGUGUACAAAAGUAAUUUCAAGAUGGAUUAUGAUUUAAACAUAAUGACAAAUACCUAGUACUGUAGAAGAAAUUUCCUUACAUGUGAUUGACAUGGAGUCUAACAGAAUUUCUUAAAGUAACCAUGCCCUUAAGACUUAGUGCAUGGUGCUAUACUUGAGAAAUUCGUUAUGAUUUUAACUUUUAUUUUACUUGAUGUACAUGACAGCAUUGAUAGAUAAAACCUGAAAAAUAAUUUGAAUAUAUGGCAUAACUGGAAUUUGUAACUAAAUGCAACUUUUGUCAAAGUUGGUGCAACAAUCUGAUUGUAGUGUGAAUGAUACAUAUGAAUUAGUAGGCAAGCAAUAUAUAAUGAAAGCUUUUGUCAGAGUUGUUUGCAGUAGCAAUAAAAAAGAGAAAAUAUAGAGAUAUAUUUUUAGUAAUUGACCUAAAGAAGCAACAUCGUAACAAAUACUCCAAACUUUGAAACCUCAUCUGUAAAUAUUUUUAAACAAGACACUUGCAUUUACUUUUAGAUAGCUAAGUGGAAUUAUCACUGAAGUAGUUGAAUACAAUAAUGUACAUGUCAAAAUUUAUACCCUUAAAUAAAGACAUACAUAAAUGAGCUAUCAAAAUGAAGACCAAAAACUUGAAUUACAUCAUUUCAGAAGCAUCAUCUAUAAUCAAGGAAGAGGUAGCAUUUUUUUUUAAGAAAAUUGAGGGAUUCAAUCAUUAUAAAAAACAGGCAAUUCUGGUUCAAGAAGUAAGACAUUUAGUUUUGAUAGUUUAUAUGCACAGAAAAUGCAAAAAAAAGAUAAAUAAGAAAUAUACCUUCUUCAUAACAAAUCAGACAGUAAACUGGGCAGUGAUAUGUAGGCAUUUUUUAUCUAUUUACUCAUUAUGUCUUUUUUUUUUUUUUUUGACAGGCAGAGUGGACAGUGUGAGAGAGAGACAGAGAGAAAGGUCUUCCUUUGCCAGUGGUUCACCCUCCAAUGGCCGCUGUGGCUGGUGCGCUACGACCGACACACGGCGCUGAUCCGAUGGCAGGAGCCAGGUACUUAUCCUGGUCUCUCAUGGGGUGCAGGGCCCAAGGACUUGGGCCAUCCUCCACUGCCUUCCUGGGCCACAGCAGAGAGCUGGCCUGGAAGAGGGGCAACCGGGAAAGAAUCCGGCGCACCGACCAGAACUAGAACCCGGGGUGCAGGCGCCGCAAGGCAGAGGAUUAGCCUAGUGAGCCGCGGCGCUGGCCGUCAUUAUGUCUUAACAAUGUUGGGUUUAAGUGCCAAUCACAGUUCUCUCUCUUUCUUUUAAAAAUUUAUUUAUUUAUUUGAAAGGUAGAAUUACAGUGAGAGAAGGAGCGAGAGAAAGAGAGCUAGAUCUUCUAUCUGCUGGUUCACUCCCCAAAAGGCCACAAAGGCUAGGGCUGGGCCAGUCCAAAGCCAGGAGUCAUGAGCUUCUUCCAGGACUCCUAUGUGGGUGCAGGGACCCAAGUACUUGGGCCAUUCUCUGCUGCUUUCCCUGGCACCUUGGCAGAGAGCUGGAUCAGAGGUGGAGCAGCAGGUUUCAAACUGGAGCCCAUAAGGGAUGCCAGCCCUAUAGGCCACAGCUUUAACCCACUGAACCACGGCACUGGCCCCCAAGCACAUUUUUACUACUGGGAAAAUAGCAAUGAGUAAAAGGGACAAAUGUCUCUGCUUUUUAAGGAUUUAAAUCUGGUGUGUGGAUACUGAUGAUAAAUAGUAAAUAGGUUGUUAUAGUGAUAUGAAAAUAAAGCUAAGGAACCGAAACGGACGCAUCAAGCAAUAGUGUAUAAAUCUCAUUUAAUUUUAUGGAUUAAGCUAACAAGUACUUUUGAAAUAGUCCACCAAGAAGAAGAGAUAGGGUUCAAAGAAUUGGAACAGGAUAUUAUGGGUUGUCAUUUUAAGCAGUGGUUUUUAUUUUAAGUUGUAUCCAGUAAUAUUUUUUUUAGAAUAUACAAAUAUUUUACUUUUUGAAGAAACUAAGAAUGAAUGAUUUUUCAAAAACUGCAAAAAGAACAUUAAGAAAGAUACUGAAAAAUCAGAUAGUCAUGGUAUCAUGGAAUCAGAGGUGGAGGGAUUAUUCCUAAAGCAGGAAAUAACUUUCUGCCUAAUUACUCUGGAAUACAGGUCAUAAGAAAUCAAGUCUCUCUUGUAUUUAUGACUGUGACAGUCUUGUGGUAAUAUAAGGCAUUUUAAACAGAUUAUUAUAAAGCCUUCUCUACUGCAGAAUAAGUCCUAUCUAAACUUACAUUCAUAUUUCCAAGCUUUAUAAUUAAUCUUUCCCCUGGGUUAAGUUCUUUUGGAUCCCCAAAUCUUCUCCUUUAAUAGAUAAAAUUGUUAACUAACUUAUUAAUUCCCCUAUUGCAAGGUUACGGGUGAUGCCGAAAGGUGGAUGUGUACUUUUUAAUUCAGUAAGUCUAAUAUUAUAGCAACUGAAAAUUACAUAAAACCAUUUUAGAAUGAAAAUAAGUAGACUUAUAUGACUGUAAAUAUAAUUUCAAAGUUUUUGAUUGUUGUGUUCAAAACAUGGGAAUAAAAAAGUAGUUCUCAUUUUUUGAGAACUUAUUCAUGAUGGGUGCUGAUUUAAAACAUUUAUGUAAAAGAAAUUCAUUCUACAAUCCUAUGGAUUGAAGGUAACUUACUUUUUUGCACAUCUUAUAGAUAGAGAAACUAAAGUACCACAAGAUUGUUUUACCUGUGGAAGUCAUACACUGUUAAAUGUUGGAGCUGUUUUUUUUUUUUUUUGUUUGUUUGUUUGUUUUUUUGACAGGCAGAGUUAGACAAUGAGAGUGAAAGAGACAGAAAGAAAGGUCUUCCUUCCGUUGGUUCACCCCCCAAUGGCUGCUACGGCCCGUGCGCUGCGCCGAUCUGAAGCCAGGAGCCUGGUUUCCCAUGCAGGUGCAGGGCCCAAGCACUUGGGCCAUCCUCCACUGCAUUCCCAGGCCACAGGAGAGAGCUGGACUGGAAGAGGAGCAACCAAGACAGAAUCCAGUGCCCCAACCGGGACUAGAACCCAGGGUGUUGGCGCCCCAGGCAGAGGAUUAGCCUAGUGAGUCGUGGCGCCAGCCUUGGAGCUGGGUUUUAAGGAAAAGUCAUCAGGUUUCAGAGGCCACAUGAUUAACUGCUACAGGAACUGUAUCUCAAAUGAAGAUUGGACUCUGGACUGCCCUCUACCUAAAGAUGAAUACUGGGCAGCAGUGCUUUCCUAAGUUGCACGUUUGUGUCUCCUAAAAUCCCAGUUCCCACAAAGGAAAUGUAUGUGGAGACAGAGAAUAUCUAUAUUUAUACAAGCCCCUGGAUGCUACUGAUGUAGCAGUUCCUGUCUGAGCCUUUGUGGACCUAUUUCCUCGAGAGAAUUAAGAACCACUGUGGAUAAUUUUACUAUAGUCUAUGCAUACAUGAUAAGUUAAUUCAUGAUAUACAAUGGAAACCUAGGAAACCAUAAUUGGUACAGAAGACAGUAGAGACUGUUGUAAUAGAAUUCCAAUAGUGCUUCUAACGCCUAGAAUUAGAAUGAUAAAAGAAUACUGAAUGACAUAUUAAGAUGGCACAAGAUUUUGUGGUUAUUAUGUUGGGAGUAUUACCAACAUGAACAUCCUGUUAGUAGAUCAUUAAUUAGCUAAAAACCUGCUCUAUUUUCUGCCGGAAAAACAGAGAAUAUUUUAUACUAGAAUUUCUUAAAAAUACAAAUUAAUGAACAAAAUAAUUGAUAACAUUAAUUUAGUAUCUAAUUCAUUGAAUUAUUUGCCUAGAGCUUUUCUGAGCGGGCUAAAUAUAUUUGUCUACAUAAUUCUCCCAAUCUUAAGUAAGAAACAUCAGCUAAAAGAUAAAAAUUGGUGAAGGAUUAUCAGGUUAUCUUUCAGGGCAAGCACUUGACUUGAAAAUUUAUUUAUUGGCAUAUUUUGUAAGUAUAUAGUGGCAAACAUAUCUUGAUUGUUUUAUUCUGGUAGGGACCUAAAGAUUGUGGUGUCUUUUUUAUUGCUGUUAUAACAUUUAUUUAUUUAUUUAUUUGAGAGGCAGAGUUACAGAUAGAGGGAGAGUGAAGAGAGAAAGGUCUUCCAUCCACUGGUUCACUCCCAAAUGGCCAGAGUUGGGCCUAUCCCAAGCCAGGGGCAAGGAGAUUCUUCCAUGUACUCCAUGUGUGUGCAGGGGCCCAAGCACUUGAGCCAUCUUACACUGCUUUCCCAUGCUGUUAGCAGAGAGCUGGAUAGGAAGAGAAUCAGCCAUAACACGAAUCGGCACCCAUAAGGGAUGCAGGUGUUGCAUGCAGAAGCUUAGCUACAGCUCUGGCCUCUUUGGGGUCUUUUUCUAUUGUGCAUUACCUAGUUUUGUAUUCAGCUCACACUCUUAUUCUUCUACUAGAAAUGUAGUUUCUCGACUAUUCUUUGAGGAAGUCACAAUAAUCUACAGUUCUUUCUUUUUUUUUUUUUUUAAUUUGUUUUAAGCACUUGGGUUUUCCUUUGUUGCCUUCCCAGGUGCAUUAACAGGGAGCUGGAUCGGAAGUGGAGCAGCCAGGAUUCAAAUCAGUGCCCAUAUGGGAUGUCAGUGCUGCAGGCGGCAGCUUUACGCACUGCACAACAGCGCUGGCCCAAUCUACAGUUAUUUCAAUAAUUCAUGAAUUAAAGAAAAUCUCUGAGUUAUGUUCAUUUUAUGUUAGUGGGAAUAUCAUGUUUUUUGAUAUUUUUUUGAAACUUACACUUAAUAGAUUUGGAUAGUAUCCCCAAAAGUGCAAAAGUAUGCUUACCUAAAGGACUCAAGGAAAUUGUAUGGUUAAAGAAAAGCAACAAGCAAGAAUUGUGAAAGGUUUGAGAUUUUUAUCAUCCAAUUUAAUAAGUUAGCUGACCACACUUUCAUUAAUACAAGGGGAAGAUAUAAGAUCCCUGUAUCAGAGCAAACAACAGCAUGGUAGGCAGCAAAAAAACUUCCUAACUACAUCAGUUCCCCUUGUAUCCCCACAUCCAUGGAACAGGCAGAGACAGGCCCAGCUAAAUUGUGCAUAUACAGUAGGUGUUUAUCACAGCUGAGGAGCUACAGUUUUAGAUAAUAAUAUUUCUAUGUAACUCCUCGGAAAGCUGUCCUACCUUUGCCCAAAAAGAAGGCAUUAUCCUCACUACAAUGCACAACAAUUGCACCUGUAUCUGAGGCCUAUAUCUUCCCAGUGCAUUGACUACAGAACAACCUGACAUGUAAAACAGCCCUUGACUUUCAGGAAGGACCUUGGGAUUAUCAGGGAGCAUUGUCUCAAAAUAUGCACCUCAUGACUAGUUGGCCCCAGCAAAUAUUCAUUUCCAGCAAUACAACUCGAGCCUUACCUCCCUGUCCACUAUCACAGAAUCCCCACUCUUUUGCUUUCCAGUUUUGUUUUUCUUUCGCAUUCAUAUAUUGUUAGUGUCUUAUUCCUCAUUGAUGGCAACAGUAUUUAGGGUUUUACUUUAUGAUUUGAACUUUUGAUGAUUUCUGUUGGACAAAUGUUUUUUUUUAUUUUUUUUUAUUUUUUGACAGGCAGAGUGGACAGUGAGAGAGAGAGACAGAGAGACAGAGAGAAAGGUCUUCCUUUGCCAUUGGUUCACCCUCCAAUGGCUGCGGCGGCUGGUGCGCUGCAGCCGGCGCACCGCACCGAUCUGAUGGCAGGAGCCAGGUACUUAUCCUGGUCUCCCAUGGGGUGCAGGGCCCAAGCACUUGGGCCAUCCUCCACUGCACUCCCUGGCCACAGCAGAGAGCUGGCCUGGAAGAAGAGGGGCAACCGGGACAGAAUCCAGCGCCCCGACCGGGACUAGAACCGGGCGUGACGGCGCCGCAAGGCGGAGGAUUAGCCUAGUGAGCCAUGGCGCCGGCCAAUGAUUUCUGUAAGACAAAUGGUUUUAAACAUUCUAUUUUGGAUAAGAGAUUACAGAGAAUCUGAUUUGCUACUCUUUUGUUUUGACUAUUUCUGUGCUCCGAUCAAAUACUGAUUUCAUGUGUAUAAGAAAAUGCUUGAAGUCUGGAGUGGGUAGUUAAUUUGUUUCUAUAUUUACUGUUGUACAGAAUGUUGUAGAACUGAAACUACCAAUGUCUAUGUGUCUGUGAAUCUGCAUGUUUGUACCUUUAUGCAAGAUUUCCCCACUUACGCAAGUAUGAAAUGCUUUCCUGCCUCUGGACGGCAUUAAUAAAUUGAAUAGUAGCAUAUCUUAAAUUAAAAAAAACUGUUUUCAUUGAUGUAUAUAGAUAAAGAAAUCCUUAAGUAAAUAAAAUAUUCCUUAAAUUCUCAGAGAAUAAGCUAAACGUUAAUACUUUAAGUACACAGGGUAUUAAGGAAAACAAUCCUUCUUAAAGAAGUUGCUAGAUUAUUUUCAGAAUGUGUGUUCAUAUAGUUAAGGCAAGCCUCUAAAUCUUAGACUAAUAUAAGAAUUGUGUGUGUGUGUGCAUGUGUGUGUGUUUAAAUUAAAAUCUAUGCGAUCUUUUCAUGAGGACAUCAUGGUGGAAGAUAAUAAAUAUGAACAUUUUAUUUCCUUUAAUAAAUCUGUUUUUUAAAGCUAAUUAUGUGAGCUUUCUAAAUGUUUAUAUUGGCUAUCUGAUCAAGUAAACUAGCAUGAAUCAUAAUAUAAUAUUAAGAUUAUGACACAGUU